rnacentral:rRNA from 1 species
AGAGUUUGAUCAUGGCUCAGAGUGGACGCUGGCGGCAGGCCUAAUACAUGCAAGUCGAACGGCAGCACAGCAGAGCUUGCUCUGUGGGUGGCGAGUGGCGGACGGGUGAGGAAUACGUGGGAAUCUGCCCAGUCGUGGGGGAUAACGUAGGGAAACUUACGCUAAUACCGCAUGCGCCCUUCGGGGGAAAGCCGGGGACCUUCGGGCCUGGCGCGAUUGGAUGAGCCCACGUCGGAUUAGCUAGUUGGCGGGGUAAAGGCCCACCAAGGCGACGAUCCGUAGCUGGUCUGAGAGGAUGAUCAGCCACACUGGAACUGAGACACGGUCCAGACUCCUACGGGAGGCAGCAGUAGGGAAUAUUGGACAAUGGGCGCAAGCCUGAUCCAGCCAUGCCGCGUGAGUGAAGAAGGCCCUCGGGUUGUAAAGCUCUUUUGUCCGGAAAGAAAAGCGCCGGGUUAAUACCCUGGUGUCCUGACGGUACCGGAAGAAUAAGCACCGGCUAACUUCGUG